AUCGAUUAUAAAAGUUCUGGUUCACUCGAACCAAAUUAAAUCGUGUUAGUUAUUUUUUAUCAAUUUGUUUUUCGUUUCUUGUACCGCUAGAAAAGCCGGAGUUUGUUCCGGUUUGCGUGAAAAUAGCGAUUGCAGUUCAACGUAUUCUAUUUACUUCAUACUCAUUGUAUCUAUCGGAAAUGAAAUUGGUCGAUUUCGUAUUCUUUGUGGAUGCGGCUUCCGGAUACCCAGCUGAAAGACAAAGGCAAUCAAAAGGAGUUCUCCAUGAAGGUAGCUCAUAUUGUUCGCCGGUUUUAUGUGAAAAAGACGAGGAAAAUGAUAAAUAAAAUAUCUUAUACAGUGAACGUUCGCUAAUUGGGGUUUUUCUAGUUGGGGCGCUUUUUAGUUGGGGGUUCGCUAAUUGGGGCGAAACCCAAUUAAAAAGCAGCUAAACGUCAGAAUGUGAUGUCAAAAACGCGUUGACGUUUUGUUUCCGUGUUUGGCGGGAUCGAUA